UGAAUAAAACAAAUCAAAAUUACAAAACAAUGAUAUAACAGAACUUAUGUAAAUAAACUAGUAAGUCACUGAAGCGGCUACUACCGCUUGUGCGUGACUAUACAGUGAACAAUACACUUCUACAUAUAUUUAUCAACAGAUAAUAUAAAACACUUCUUUACAACACUUAAAUAUCUAUAAAACACUAAACUUAAUUUUUUUGACUUAUGAUGUUAUGAAAUAUUUCUCUGCCUCUUUCAUGAAUCCAUAGCUUUACUUUAUGCUUAAAAGAGCUAUAUACAUUUAUAUUUUUAAGAUUAUUUGGUAAAAUAUUAUACAACCUUGAAGCCAGAUAGUUAAAAUUUCUUUGUCCUAUUGUUUUUACAGACCUUGGAUUAACAUAAUUGUCUCUGUUUCUAGUACUAUAUGGGUGAUUUAUCGAUUGCGGAAUUAAAUAUUUUUUUUUAUAGUUUUUUAUUAAAAUAUUAUAACAAAAUAAUUGACGUACAUCCAUUAAACCGCUUUCUCUGAAUAACUGGUCGCUAGGGUAAGUAAUGGUUUUUUUAUAUAUCAAUUUAAUUAUCCAUUUUUGAAUAAUAUUUAAAUUUUGUAGGUGGCUAUCAGAUACUCCACCCCAACCAAUUAUACCAUAAUUCAAGUGUGACUGUACUAAGGCAUAAUAUAAUAUUUUUAAGUGGUUCCACCGUGCAUGUCUGUCUAUAAUUACACCCAGAUAUUUUAUAGACUCUUCUUCAGGUAUAUUUGUAUUCUGAUCAAUAAUUAGUGGACCCAUAUGAGGUAAACGUGCUGCAUAGGACGUAAAUGGAAGAAAUUUGGUUUUUUCUACAUUUAAGGUCUGACCAAGAUUCUGAUUCAUACCACACAGCAGUAUCAUCAGCAAAACUUAGAAUGGAACCAUUUACGUUAAGGGUAAGUAAAUCGUUUAUGUAGAUUGUGAAUAAUAGAGGACCCAAAACCGUUCCCUGUGGAACCCCAUAGGUAACGGUUUCUAGAUUACUUCUUACCCCACCAAUAUUUACUUGUUGUUUUCGGUUGCAUAGGUAGCUUUUUAUUAAAUUAUGUACAUUUCCUCUAAUUCCAUAAUAUUUUAGUUUUUCAAGAAGUAUUUUGUGGCUGACUGUAUCGAAUGCUUUAGAGAGAUCAACGAAGAUGCACAGUGCAGGAUUUUUCUUAUCGAUAGCAUUAUAUAUAUAUGAUGUCAAUUUGUAAAUGGCAUCCUCCGUUGACCUUCCUUCCCUA